CGGGGCUCUCCCAGGCAGCGGAUUUUGAUUCCGCCAUGCGGAGGUUCGAAUCCUCCCGCCCCAGCCA
rnacentral:tRNA from 1 species